rnacentral:rRNA from 1 species
CUGUCAGCAGCCGCGGUAAAACGUAGGAGACAAACGUUAUCCGGAGUUACUGGGCGUAAAGGGCGUGCAGGUGGUUCGCUAAGUCUGGCGUGAAAUAUUUCGGCUUAACCGGGAUAUGUCGUCGGAGACUGACGGACUAGAGGGUGAUAGAGGCCUGUGGAAUUCCGGGUGUAGUGGUGAAAUGCGUAGAGAUCCGGAGGAACACCAGUGGCGAAGGCGACACGCUGGGUCACACCUGACACUGAUACGCGACAGCAUGGGGAGCGAACGGGAUUAGAAACCCGCGUAGUCC